AAAAUCGUUAAAAAGAAUGUAUGAACAAUGUAGUCCAACUUUCUUUUAUACGAAAUUACGGAUAUUUCUAGCCGGUUGGAAGAACAACAAAUCGCUUCCAGAUGGAAUUAUUUAUGAAGGAGUGAGCUCAAAACCAUUUAAGUUUUCAGGAGCAAGUGCAUCGCAAAGUACUACAUUUCAUUUGUUUGAUGCCGCUCUUGGCAUUACGCACCAAG